rnacentral:miRNA from 1 species
GAGGUGGGAGGAUUGCUUGAGCCUGGGAGGUCGAGGCUGCAGUGAGCCAUGAUCAUGCCACUGCACUCCAGCCUGAGUGACAGAGUGAGACCUUGUCU